rnacentral:rRNA from 1 species
GAUGAACGCUGGCGGCGUGCCUAAUACAUGCAAGUCGAGCGAACGGACGAGAAGCUUGCUUCUCUGAUGUUAGCGGCGGACGGGUGAGUAACACGUGGAUAACCUACCUAUAAGACUGGGAUAACUUCGGGAAACCGGAGCUAAUACCGGAUAAUAUUUUGAACCGCAUGGUUCAAAAGUGAAAGACGGUCUUGCUGUCACUUAUAGAUGGAUCCGCGCUGCAUUAGCUAGUUGGUAAGGUAACGGCUUACCAAGGCAACGAUGCAUAGCCGACCUGAGAGGGUGAUCGGCCACACGGGAACUGAGACACGGUCCAGACUCCUACGGGAGGCAGCAGUAGGGAAUCUUCCGCAAUGGGCGAAAGCCUGACGGAGCAACGCCGCGUGAGUGAUGAAGGUCUUCGGAUCGUAAAACUCUGUUAUUAGGGAAGAACAUAUGUGUAAGUAACUGUGCACAUCUUGACGGUACCGAAUCAGAAAGCCACGGCUAACUACGUG